rnacentral:tRNA from 1 species
GGGGGUAUAGCUCAGUGGUAGAGCAUUUGACUGCAAAAUAACUGAAGGUUUUGGAAUUUUCUGUUUGUGACUCACAUUCCCCUG